rnacentral:rRNA from 1 species
UGCAGUCGAGCGGACAGAUGGGAGCUUGCUCCCUGAUGUUAGCGGCGGACGGGUGAGUAACACGUGGGUAACCUGCCUGUAAGACUGGGAUAACUCCGGGAAACCGGGGCUAAUACCGGAUGGUUGUUUGAACCGCAUGGUUCAAACAUAAAAGGUGGCUUCGGCUACCACUUACAGAUGGACCCGCGGCGCAUUAGCUAGUUGGUGAGGUAACGGCUCACCAAGGCAACGAUGCGUAGCCGACCUGAGAGGGUGAUCGGCCACACUGGGACUGAGACACGGCCCAGACUCCUACGGGAGGCAGCAGUAGGGAAUCUUCCGCAAUGGACGAAAGUCUGACGGAGCAACGCCGCGUGAGUGAUGAAGGUUUUCGGAUCGUAAAGCUCUGUUGUUAGGGAAGAACAAGUACCGUUCGAAUAGGGCGGUACCUUGACGGUACCUAACCAGAAAGCCACGGCUAACUACGUGCCAGCAGCCGCGGUAAUACGUAGGUGGCAAGCGUUGUCCGGAAUUAUUGGGCGUAAAGGGCUCGCAGGCGGUUUCUUAAGUCUGAUGUGAAAGCCCCCGGCUCAACCGGGGAGGGUCAUUGGAAACUGGGGAACUUGAGUGCAGAAGAGGAGAGUGGAAUUCCACGUGUAGCGGUGAAAUGCGUAGAGAUGUGGAGGAACACCAGUGGCGAAGGCGACUCUCUGGUCUGUAACUGACGCUGAGGAGCGAAAGCGUGGGGAGCGAACAGGAUUAGAUA